rnacentral:rRNA from 1 species
CCUACGGGUGGCAGCAGUGGGGAAUCUUGGACAAUGGGGGAAACCCUGAUCCAGCGACGCCGCGUGAGUGAAGAAGUAUUUCGGUAUGUAAAGCUCUAUCAGCAGGGAAGAAAAUGACGGUACCUGACUAUGCAGCACCGGAUAACUACGUGCCAGCAGCCGAGGUAAUACGUAGGGGGAAAGCGUUAUGCGGAUUUACUGGGUGUAAAGGGAGCGUAGACGGUGCAGCAAGUCUGAUGUGAAGGGUCGGGGCCCAACCCCGGGACGGCAUUGGAAACUGUUGAACUGGAGUACAGGAGAGGUAAGCGGAAUUCCUAGUGUAGCGGUGAAAUGCGUAGAGAUUAGGAGGAACACCAGUGGCGAAGGCGACUUACUGGACUGUAACUGACGUUGAGGCGCGAAAGCGUGGGGAGCAAACAGGAUUAGAUACCCCUGUAGUC